rnacentral:rRNA from 1 species
GAUGAACGCUGGCGGCGUGCCUAAUACAUGUAAGUCGAGCGAACGGACGAGAAGCUUGCUUCUCUGAUGUUAGCGGCGGACGGGUGAGUAACACGUGGAUAACCUACCUAUAAGACUGGGAUAACUUCGGGAAACCGGAGCUAAUACCGGAUAAUAUUUUGAACCGCAUGGUUCAAAAGUGAAAGACGGUCUUGCUGUCACUUAUAGAUGGAUCCGCGCUGCAUUAGCUAGUUGGUAAGGUAACGGCUUACCAAGGCAACGAUGCAUAGCCGACCUGAGAGGGUGAUCGGCCACACUGGAACUGAGACACGGUCCAGACUCCUACGGGAGGCAGCAGUAGGGAAUCUUCCGCAAUGGGCGAAAGCCUGACGGAGCAACGCCGCGUGAGUGAUGAAGGUCUUCGGAUCGUAAAACUCUGUUAUUAGGGAAGAACAUAUGUGUAAGUAACUGUGCACAUCUUGACGGUACCUAAUCAGAAAGCCACGGCUAACUACGUG